UGGGGAAUUUUGGACAAUGGGGGAAACCCUGAUCCAGCCAUCCCGCGUGUGCGAUGAAGGCCUUCGGGUUGUAAAGCACUUUUGGCAGGAAAGAAACGUCAUGGGUUAAUACCCCGUGAAACUGACGGUACCUGCAGAAUAAGCACCGGCUAACUACGUGCCAGCAGCCGCGGUAAUACGUAGGGUGCAAGCGUUAAUCGGAAUUACUGGGCGUAAAGCGUGCGCAGGCGGUUCGGAAAGAAAGAUGUGAAAUCCCAGAGCUCAACUUUGGAACUGCAUUUUUAACUACCGGGCUAGAGUGUGUCAGAGGGAGGUGGAAUUCCGCGUGUAGCAGUGAAAUGCGUAGAUAUGCGGAGGAACACCGAUGGCGAAGGCAGCCUCCUGGGAUAACACUGACGCUCAUGCACGAGAGCGUGGGGAGCAAAGAGG
rnacentral:rRNA from 1 species